rnacentral:sRNA from 1 species
UUCUAGAAAUUUCAGCUAGAAAGGGUUAAUCUACAGGAAGUGAAACGGUCAACUUAUGAUCAUACAAGGAAAUGUACAGACCAGCUACUGCUCUUGGGUCAAGUAUGUCAGGCGUUCAGUUGCUCUGCCUGAUAGAUAAGGCUGCAGACGCCUGCCGCUACCUGCAGACAUACGGCGAGUGGAAU